rnacentral:rRNA from 1 species
GACAGAGGAGCCAAGCGUUGUCCGGAUUGACUGGGCGUAAAGCGCACGCAGGCGGGUGCGCGCGUGGGUGUGAAACCUGGCCGCUUAACGGCCAGCGGCCAUCCCAUACGGCGCGCCUGGAGCCUUGCAGAGGGCGGUGGAAUUGCCGGUGUAGUGGUGAAAAUGCGUAGAGAUCGGCAGGAACACCCAGGGAGAAAUCAGCCGCCUGGGCAAGUGGCUGACGCUGAGGUGCGAAAGCGAUGGGGAGCG